rnacentral:ncRNA from 1 species
UAACAGCAGGGGAGCUUGUAAUGGCAGGCUGAGAGGAAGUCAUCAACUUCGACCCUUAAACCUGAUGCGGAUAAUGCCGCCGUAGGAAGUCGCAGAUC